UCCGGAUCAGUGGUGCUGGAAGAGCACAGCAGUUCAGGAAGCAUCCGAGAAACAACGAAUUCGACGUUUCGGCCAAAAAGAGCCUGUUCACCAUUUGUGAGCAAUUUCGUUCACGUCAAACGAAAUGACAGAAAAGGUUAUGACAGAAAUAGAUAAGAAAAUGUUUUGACUUUGACUCCGAUGCAGAAUAAAUGUCAGUCAUUUUACCUCAGGCUCUCAGUCCUGCCGUUAGGGGCGGGUCGCUGCCCUGGCCUGAUUGACAGCGUGAGUUACCAAUAGGAGAUUGGUUCUGGAUUGGGGGAGAUGGGCACGUGGUGCGCCGGUGGCCGCAGAGUUUGAUGAAGUGAGUGGACGUUAAUGUUAUUGUUCUUCUCGGUGAAGGGCGGUGGCCCACUCUUACUCCGAGCACGGGGAGGGAUCAGUGUUAGCGGCUGAAGGCGGUGUGCAAACAACUCUCCCACCACCAACUGCAGCGGCUUCACGACAAAGUAUUCAACUCCAUUCUCUCACUCUUGUGGCUCAGUGGUAGUGUCCUUACCUCUGAGCCAGAAAAACCCGGCUUCAAGUCCCACUUGCUCCAUAGUUUCUCCAUUCACAGGUAAAGCACACCUUCGGACCACCACCUGCCCCUUCACAACCUAAUCCAAUGCAUUCAAAUCAACUCCUCAGUCAUGAGCACGAAAAAUGAAGAAGCUAACAAUGGUGAAGAGAGGUCCGUACGCUUUUUGUCAGUGGUAUUCCUAUGGAUAUUAAACCACAUGAGCUUUACCUUCUCUUUUGAUCGUUUAAGGGAUAUGAAGGUUCAUAGAUCAAGCUAACAUUAAAACAGCCAGUUGGCUUUGUUACCAUUGGUAGCAGAGUGGAGCAGCAGCAGCAAAGAAUGCUACGUUCCUCUACCCUGCUACUACAGAUGCACAGGUAUCCUCCAUCUGAAGCAUACCCGCAAGAAUGGAAGUCUCGUCAGUUUUGUUAAGUAUAUAACUGCCCUUAUCCAAUAAUUCAGAUUUCUCCAUGGAGUGAAGUGCAAGGACAGACAAGAUUUUGCUUUUAGGUUGGAGUUUACUGAAGGAGAUUUUGGAUAACUGGUUUAUUUCCACUCAAAUUGGAGAGGGUGAAGUGGUCAUUAAGGACUGUGGAUUUAAGAACUUUACUGGUGAACACUUUCUUUCUAUAUGGAAAGAUCCUAUCUACUGCAUAGAUCUGCUUGGCACUUCCUGUUGUUAUUCCACUCCACUAACUCUUGGAGGUUUCAAAGCUGUGUACCUGUGGUGUUCCCAAGUGUCGGUUCAUGGCUAACACAAUUAGGUCUGUUCCACCAGCAUUGAUGAUUGCAUCUUUUACUUCAUCAUUACCUGCGAUCGCUCGGAAGGCACCCAGUACCUGCUUCACCACUUCCUGUAAUUUAACAGGACAAGAAAAAAAUUAGGUGUUGAUGUACCUCAACAUUGGUAUAUCGACAGUUGUUUUAAAAAAAUGUCUUUCAUAGGAGUGGGCAUCAUUGGCCAGACCAGCAUUUACUGCUGAUUCUUACGUAGCCUUGAAAUGAAUGGCUUGCUUGGCCAUUUUUGAAGGCAGUCAACCACGUUAGUGUGGAAACGGAACAACAUAUUAGAUUAGAUUCCCUACAGUAUGGAAACAGGUCCUUCGGCCCAACAAGUCCACGCUGACCCUCCAAAGAGUAACCCUCCCAGACCUAUUCCCCCUACCCGAUAGUUUGCCCCUGACUAAUGCACCUAACACAACGGGCAAUUUAGCAUGGCCAAUUCAUCUGACCUGCACAUCUUUGGAUUGUGGGAGGAAACCGGAGCACCUGGUGGAAACCAACACAGACACAGGGAGAAUGUGCAAACACCACACAGUCGCCCAAGGCGGGAAUCAAACCCAAGCGAGGCAGUAGUGCUAACCACUGAGGUACUUUGCCACCCUCAGACCUGGUCAGGAUGGCAAAUUUCCUACUUUUCUAAUCAACCUGUUCAGAGAUGUUAUUACACAUCUUUGGUGCAGGUGGGACUUGAACGCAGGUCUCUGGAUUUAGGAGUAUGGACACUACCACUGCACCACAAGGCUAUUAAUGAACAUUGUUUUUUUACGGCAAACAAUGAUUACGUUGUCACCACAUUACCAGGAUUUGUUUUUAACUUUCCAGAUAUUGUAAUAUUGAAUUCAAUUUCACUAUCUGAUUCAAAUCCAGGAGCCCAGUGAUAAUAAGAAUCUGAAUUACUAGUCCAUGAUAUUAACACCACAGCACGGCAUCUCCUGUAUACAGUGGUGUAAGUGAAGUUACGGGGCUGUAUUGGUCAGUCAUAAUCGUAGGGUAUCUUUUCAGAAGUGGAAAGUACAUUGCCACUUGCAGUGAGAGACCAUGUGAUCAAGUUGCAACCACAAUUAAUGUGCAUAAUAAUUGGUAUGCACCAAUUCAGAUAAUUAUCCAUGGUGUCAUAGACUCCUAUCCUGGAACUCAGUCAGCCUCUUGACUCUGAACAUGGAGCCAGAUCUUGCCCCACAAAAAGACUAGCAGACCAACUGCAUUCAGUUAGCCCACUGCUAACAGCUCAUCCUACACAUCUUAGAAGCAUUCAUCUUCAAAAUCUUGUAUAAUCUUCUUCAGGCUAGCAUACAUUCAGUUGUUAGAUGAUCCAGAGUUUAGAUAGUUCAAAAGGCGUAGGGGAGGAGGUGAAAGAGGUGAGGGAGUGGCAUUGCUAAUCAAGGAUAGUAUCACAACUGCAGAAAAGGAGGUUGUCGAGGAGGGGGAGGUUGUCGAGGAGGGUUUGUCUACAGAGUCAGUCCGGGUACAAGGCAGAAACAGGAAAGGAAAAGUUACUUUUUUGGGAGUUUUCCACAGUUCUUCCCCCCCAACCCCCCCCGCCCCAAAUAAUUUGCCCACCAUAGACACAGAGAAAUUUGGCUGUCUGGCUACAGAAUUGGCUGGUUCAUAGAAGACAGAGGGUGGUAGCUGAUGGCAAGUAUUAAGCCUAGAGCUCAGUGACCAGUGGUGCUCCAUAGGGAUGAGGAAGUGGAAGGGAGGAUUUGUAAGUCUGCCAAUGACACAAAGGUUGAUGGAGUGGUGGAUAGUAUGCAGAGCUGUUAUAGGUUGCAACAGGACAUUAACAGGUUGCAGAGCUGGGCUGAGAAGUGGCAGUUGGAGUUCAACCUGGAAAAGUGUGAAGUGAUUAAUUUUAGAAGGUUGAAUUUGAAUGCAGAAUACAAGGUUAAAGGCAGGAUUCCUGGUAGUGUGGAGGAACAGAGGUAUCAUGGGGUCCACGUCAAAGUUGCCACCCAAGUUGAUCGGGUUGUUCAGAAGGCGUGUGGUGUGUUAGCUUUAAUGAGCAGGGGGAUUGAGUUUAAGAGCCGUAAGGUUAUGCUGCAAGUCCAUAGAGCCCUGAUUAAACCACAAUUGGAAUACUGUGUUCAGUUCUGGUUGCCUCAUUAUAGGAAGGAUGUGGAAGGUUUAGAGAGGGUGCACAGGAGAUUUACCAGGAUGCUGCCUGGACUGGAGGGCAUGUUUUGUGAAGAAAGGUUGAGGGAGAUAAGGCUUUUCUCAUUGGAGCGAAGGGGGAGGUGUAGAAGAUGAUAAGAGGUAUAGAUAGUGAGUAGUCAGAGAUCUUUUCCCAGGGCAGAAAUGGCUAUCACAAGGAUGCAUAAUUUUAAAGUGAUUGGAGGGAAGUUUAGGGGAGAUGUCAGAGAGUGGUUCUUUACUCAGAGAAUGGUGGGUGCACGGAAUGCACUGCUAGGGUAGUGAAAGAGUCAGAUAAAUUAGGGACAUUUAAGCAAAUCUUGGACAGGUACACAGAUGAUCAUAAAAGGGUACAUGGGUUAGUUUGAUCUUAAAGUAGGACAAAAGGUCAGCACAACAUCAAAGAUGAAAGGGCCUGUACUGUGCUGCACUGUUCUGUUUUACACCAAUGUCAACAACAAUGCCUCUUGCCACCAGACCCUUACAGUCUGGCUAGAGCUCCAUCCUACUCUUAAAAUCCUCUUAUAAAACAUAAUCCUUCACACUAGAAAAAGACAAUGUGGUCGAGGAGAACACUGAGACGCAGGCUACUUGACUGGAUGGGAUUGAGGUUCACAAGGAGGAGGAGUUAGCAAUUCUGCAAAGUGUAAAAAUAGAUAAGUCCCCUGUGCCGUAUGGGGUUUAUCGGGAAGUCAAGGAUGAGAUUGCAGGGCCUUUUGCUUUGAUCUUCAUGUUACAAAGGGAUAUAGAUAAGCUGCAGAGUUGGGCUGAGAGGUGGCAAAUGGAGUUUAAUAGAAAGUAUGAGGUGAAUCGCUUUUGGAAGGAGUAACAGGAAUGCAGAGUACUGGGCUAAUGGUAAGAUUCUUGUAAGUGUAGAUGAGCAGAGAGAUCUAUGUACACAGAUCUCUGAAAGUUGCCAUCCAGGUUGAUAGGGUUGUUAAGGCAGCAUACGGUGUGUCAUGAGGUCAUGCUGCAGCUGUACUAAACUCUGGUACAGCCACAUUUGGAGUAUUGCGUACAGUUCUGGUCACUGCAUUAUAGGAAGGAUAUGAAAGCUUUGGAAAGGGUUCAGAAGAGAUUUACUAGGAUGUUGCCUGGUAUGGAGGGAAGGUCUUAUGAGAAAAGGCUGAGGAACUUGAGACAGUUUUUGUUAGAGAGGAAGAAGUUGGGAGGUGCCUUAAUUGAGUCAUACAAGAUAAAUCAGAAGGUUAGAUAGGGUGGACAGUGAGAGACCUUUUCCUCGGAUGAUAAUGGCUAGCACAGGGGACACAAUUUUAAAUUGAGCGGUGAUAGAUAUAGGACAGAAGUUAGAGGUAGUUUCUCUAGUCAGAGCGGUAGUAGGGAUGAGAAUGGAAUAGUGUAGGUGAGACAGGCUUCAGAUUGAUUUCACAGGUCGGUGCAACAUCAAGGGACGAAGGGCCUGUACUGCGCUGUAAUGUACGUACAAAUCAACCUUUCAGUAACUCUCGAAGACCUCUCUGCUGCACAUUCAAGGUACGCAUUGGGUGAAAUUAUACUUGUAAAUACAAGGUUUCCAGUUAAGUAGAAAAGUCAGCUCUUUGCAUAAACUAACACAAUUUUACGGGUAAUGUACAAUGGUUAAGGGCUUCCUACUCCUACGUAGGAUGUCAAGAUACUUAUUUAAUACAAAGGAAAGUAGAGUGAAGUUAUAAGUAGCAGAGCUAAAGAAAAAAUCUUUUAAAAGAAAUUACUUAAAAUUUACGUCAUAGAAACUGUUAAUCCUCAACACAACGUUUUUGUGCCUUAAUUGAUAUUACAAAUGUAUGAAGGACAAAAGGGUCACUAGGGAGAGAAUAGGGCCCCUCAAAGAUCAGCAAGGCGGCCUUUGUGUGGAGCCACAGAAAAUGGGGGAGAUACUAAAUGAAUAUUUUGUAUCAGUAUUUACUGUGGAAAAGGAUAUGGAAGAUAUAGACUGUAGGGAAAUAGAUGAUGACAUCUUGCGAAAUGUCCAGAUUACAGAGGAGGAAGUGCUGGAUGUCUUGAAAUGGUUAAAGGUGGAUAAAUCCCCAGGACCUGAUCAGGUGUACCCAAGAACUCUGUGGGAAGCUAGAGAAGUGAUUGCUGGGGCUCUUGCUGAGAUAUUUGUAUCAUCGAUAGUCACAGGUGAGGUGCCGGAAGACUGGAGGUUGGCAAACGUGGUGCCACAGGGAGAUAGGAUAGUGAAAAUGUUUGGUAUACUUUCCUUUAUGGUCAGAGUAUUGAGUACAGGAGUUAGGAGGUGAUGUUGUAGCUGUACAGGACAUUGGGUAGGCCACUGUUGGAAUAUUACAUGCAAUUCUGGUCUCCUUCCUGUCAGAAAGAUGUUGUGAAACUUGAAAGGGUUCAGAAAAGAUUUACAAGGAUGUUGCCUGGGUUGGUGGAUUUGAGCUACAAGGAGAGGCUGAACAGGCUGGGGCUGUUUUCCCUGGAGCGUUGGAGGCUGAGGGGUGACCUUAUAGAGGUUUACAAAAUUAUGAGGGGCAUGGAUAGGGUAAAUAGACAAAAUCUUUUCCCUGGGAUCAGGGAAUCCAGAACUAGAGGGCAUAGGUUUAGGAUGAGAGGGGAAAGACAUAAAAGAGACCUAAGGGGCAACCUUUUCACGCAGAGAGUGGUAUAUGUAUGGAAUGAGCUGCCAGAGGACAUGGUGGAGGCUGGUAGAAUUGCAACAUUUAAGAGGCAUUUGGAUGGGUAUAUGAAUAGGAAGGGUUUGGAGGGAUAUGGGCCAGCUGCUGGCAAGUGGGACGAGAUUGGGUUGGGAUAUCUGGUCGGCGUGGACAGGUUGGACCGAAGGAUCUAUUUCCAUGCUGUACUUCUCCAUGACUAAGUAUGAUCAAACUCUUCUCCUCAACUAUUCCAUGUGGUAGGAAGUUCCACUUUCUCACCACUCUCCAGGGAAAGAAAUUUCUCCUAAAUUCUCUGUUGGAUAUAUUAGUGAUUAUCUUAUAUCUUUGGCCCUUGAUGUUGGUUUUGCCUACGACUAAAGACAUCUUCUCCACGCUUACCCUAAUGAAUUUCUUUAUAAUUCUAAUGAUUUACAUCAGAUCACCU